rnacentral:tRNA from 1 species
GGAGGUUUAGCUCAAUGGCAUAAGUGCCUGCCUUGCAAGCAGGCAGUCGUGAGUUCGAUCCCCGCUACCAAUA